UGGGAACGUACCCUUUGGUUCGGAACAACCAAGGGAAACUUGGGCUAAUACCGGAUAAGUCCGUAAGGAGAAAGAUUUGUCGCCAAAGGAUCGGCCCGCGUCUGACUAGCUAGUUGGUAGGGUAAUGGCCUACCAAGGCUACGAUCAGUAGCUGGUCUGAGAGGAUGAUCAGCCACAUUGGGACUGAGACACGGCCCAAACUCCUACGGGAGGCAG
rnacentral:rRNA from 1 species